rnacentral:rRNA from 1 species
GUAGGUGGCAAGCGUUGUCCGGAAUUAUUGGGCGUAAAGCGCGCGCAGGCGGUUCUUUAAGUCUGAUGUGAAAGCCCACGGCUCAACCGUGGAGGGUCAUUGGAAACUGGAGAACUUGAGUACAGAAGAGGAAAGCGGAAUUCCACGUGUAGCGGUGAAAUGCGUAGAGAUGUGGAGGAACACCAGUGGCGAAGGCGGCUUUCUGGUCUGUAACUGACGCUGAGGCGCGAAAGCGUGGGGAGCAAACAGGAUUAGAUACCCUGGUAGUCCACGCCGUAAACGAUGAGUGCUAAGUGUUAGGGGGGUUUCCGCCCCCCUUAGUGCUGCAGCUAACGCAUUAAGCACUCCGCCUGGCAGUACGGCCGCAAGGCUG